GCCAGCUGCCAUAUCACCCUGCAGCCCAAUGAAGCUCAGCAGGUGUGAGCCUGGUCAGUACCUGGAUGGGAGACCUCCUGGGAAAAACUAAGGUUGCUGCUAGAA
rnacentral:rRNA from 1 species